rnacentral:lncRNA from 1 species
ACGCCAAAAUGACGGGAACAUUGUUCACUCGCGCUCCCUCACACAAAUCAGACCCUAAAUCACCAAAAUCCACGGCGAGUGAUUCCAAACCCAUAACCACGCAUUCCUCCUUCUCUCCUUUUGCCGUUUCUAAUUGUUUCUGACGCUAAUGAUUCCCUUCUCCUCUCACUCGCUCGAAUUUGAGAUAUAUCUCACAACUGGAAGGUUCUGGAGGACAAUAGUUGGAUGAGUGUGAGGUGUUGGAUCGAUUUCAUUUAAUCUGAGCCCCACACUCAUCAGGUGCUCAUUUUCAAAUAGUACCGGAUCCGAUUUUGAGAAGGGGGAGAAAACAAUUUCGAGGUCUGGGCUUUGGGAUAGAAAAGUUUAAAAAAUUAUUUAGUUUUAUUGAGUUUUUUUUUGCGUUUUUAGUUUCGAUUCUGGAGAAAAAGGUUUAGAAAAUUCAGUUUCUUUUGUUUGGUUCUUGGUUAUGUUUCAAAAAUCCAAAGAAAAAAAGGUUUUCAUUAUCUUUCGUUGGUUCCCUUCAAAAAUGGAGAUGGAAUUGACCAUUCGUGUUCGAGUUCAUAGUUCUUGCAUCUAACGCACUGUAGUUGUUGUUCUUUCGAGUUUUCAAUAUUAAAUUCACUUGUAUCGGGUUCAAGGCAGAAUUAAUCUUAACUUUUUGCUAUUCAGGUUCAUCUCUUAUCCUCUUCUUUAUCGCUCGUGAUUCUAUGUUUGCCUGUGUUUGUAUGCCACCAUGGUUUAGUUUGAAUCUUGAAGCUCAAUGUCUGUUUCUUCUUGUCAAGUUCUAAACUUGUUUGGCCUUGGUUCAGGUCCAUUGAUGCUAUUUUUUUAGUUGAAAACAUUCCCAAGUCAUAAUAGAGUAUGCUGGAAUUUCUGAGUUCGUAUCUCGUUGUUUCUGUCAUUUAGGCUUCUGUUGGUUUAAAUCUGCCAGUUAGUAGGUUUAGGUUAGUGUAUUUCCAUUCUCUAUUUUUCGAAUCCUAGCCGAGAAUUUACGGGACAAUUGUUGGCUAUUAUCUUGUGUUAAAAGACUGAGAAAUGAAAGUGAAUAUUAGCCAUCCGACAUCAAAUCCAUGUGUUCGCUUGUGAUAUUAAUUGAAGAAAUUUCAUUAGUCGAUCUUCUUAUUUUUCGAGCAGAUCCAAUGUAAGUACCACUUGAUUUUAGCAAAAUUAACAGUGUUUUCUCCAUCACGAGCUUUUCGUAAAGAAGUACUUGACAUAAUCUGAGUAAAGAACUUGUUUGUAAAUUGGUUCCUCUCCAUUCUCUAGCAUUUCAGCCGAAGGAAGUCAUCAGUAAGGCUAUUGUGUUGUCUGCCUAUUUGGUAAGUUCGUAGCCAUGAAGUCUGAGUUCGAACAGAAACUGCUUGUUGAGGAUGUGAUUUUACUUUCGAUCAAAUGUUUUAGGGACAGUUAUUGAAUGCAUUUUAGUCUAUAGUGGUUGUUAGCAACUCGAAUUUAAGCAGUUCAGAAAUUUGAUAAAUUGAGUUAGCCUGCCCUGUUUGCACUGUCUAGGCAGCCUGUUUGCACGACUUUGAGUGCAAAAUUCUGCACUGGUUGUGUGACGACCCGCUCGUUCGUCUUUGGAAUUUAUGCCCUGUACCCCCAUUAAUUGCUUCCCCUAAGUUCAUUUCUGCUAUUUUUAUAUUCCGGGAUAUUCGGUAAUAGAAUUCGGAGUGUUUUGGGACACUUUGUCCCUAAAUGAGAGCUUAAGUGUUUGGAAAAUGGUCCGUAAUCAGAACAGUGUGAAUACGACCUCGGAAUGGAAAUCGGAUGGUUCCGUUAGCUCCAUUAUGUGAUUUCGGGGUUGGGAGAGUGUUCGGAAUGUAUUUUGGAUAUCCGUAGCUCAUUUAGGCUAGAAAUGCCGAAAGUCAAAAUUUUGAAGUUUCUGGUCCGAUAGUGAAUUUUUGAUCCGAGGGUCGGUAUGAGAUUCCGGAAGUUGUAGCUUCAUCAUGUCAUUUUGGAUGUGCGUGCAAAUUUUCAGGUCAAUCAGACAUGUUUUGACUAGGUUUUAAAUCGAAAGCGAGUUUGGUUAAGUUUUGAAGUUUUUAAGUUCUAAUCAUUGAGUAAUUUUUCCUGAAUUGUUUUAGGUGGUUUAAGGAUUUGAUCAAGUUUUAAUGAUGUUAAAAGAUAUGUCUGUAGGUUUGGUUGAGGUCCCGGGGGUCUCGGAUGUGUUUCGGAUGCCCAACGGUGCUUUUUGUGUUGUAAAAACAUUGCAGAUUUUCUGCUGUUCAUGUUGCAAGUUUUUACCCUCUGCGAUUGCAUACUCUUCCAUGCGAUCGCGUGGUGUAAUUUCUGAGGGUGGCCUUUUCCUUCAAUGCGAUCGCAUAAUUCCCUCUUGUAAUCGCAUAGCUAAUGUUUUCCCUUCUCCGCGAUCGCAAUGCCUUUAGUCUGAUCACAUAGGUUUUCCUUACCUUACGCGAUCGCAGGCCCUUCACUGCGUUCGCAUAGAGCAUUUUCCCGGUCUUCAAUUUUUACUCUACGCGAUCGCAUCACUUCUUAUGCGAUCACACCGAAGAAAAUCCCUGGGCAGAUAUAACAUUUCAAAACGAACCCUUCUUCCAUUUUUAUCAAACUCAAGCUAGAGAGCUCGAUUUUGGGAGAUGUUUCGAAGGAUUUUCAGAGGCAAACAUCGGGUAAUGAUUCCUUACUCCUCUAUGACCAAAACCCACUAAUCUAAUCUCAAAUUUAAGCUUUAAUUUCAGAUUUUGAAUGAAAAUUGAGGUAAAGUUCUUAGACCUAACAAGAGCUCGGUUUUGGGAGAUUUUUCUAGGAAUUUUCAGAGGUAAACAUCGGGUAAUGAUUCCUUACUCCUCUAUGACCAAAACCCACUAAUCUAAUCUCAAAUUCAAGCUUUAAUUUCGGAUUUUGAAUGAAAAUUGGGGUAAAGUACUUAGACCUAACUUUGAUGAUUUGAGUGCUUCUCACUCGAUUUAGACCGAUUUUCAUGAAUCUCCUCUUAAUUUCAUCCUUUAAUUUAGAUUUUGAAUGAAAAAUGGGUAAAACUUCAUAGGCCAAAUUAUUGAGUUUUGAGGGGGUAAUUUGACCUCCGAUUCGGGAGUUUUUUAUAUGGUUAGACUCGUGAGAGUACGAGGUUUCUGAAAAUAUAAAAAUUAUUCGAUUCCAAGACGUUGGCCGGAGGGGCAUUUUUGUCAUUUAGCCUAUUUUCGCGCCUUAGCUUUAAUUUUAACAGUGUAAUUAGUUACGUGCGAUGUUAUUUACAAUAUGUAAUUGGUUUGGAUAGAUUUGGGCCACUCGGAGUCGGAUACUCUUGGCAAGGACGUUGUUUCUUAGCGGUUUUGUACCAAUUCGAGGUAAGUGGCUUGUCUAACCUUGUGUGGGGAACCNNNNNNNNNNNNNNNNNNNNNNNNNNNNNNNNNNNNNNNNNNNNNNNNNNNNNNNNNGUGGCUUGUCUAACUUUGUGUGGGGGACCUCUCCCCUUAGGAUAUCCUUGUUGUUGUUUAAAUGCCUUGUGCGCGAGGUGACGGGCACGUACUUGUACUAGUUGUUAAAAAUUCACCUUGGCUUAUUUAGACUGUGUUUCUUCGCAUAUUUAACUGUUAAAAGUGCAACUUCGCUCGUUUUAGCUUAGGAAAAACAUGUUAGUAAUUUAUUUGCUCUAUUUGACUAAAUUGCAAUACUUGUUCUCUUUGUGAGCAUGCUAGGCUCUAGACGUUUACAUUGUUGUUGUACUUGGCUUCUUUCUGUUAAAUAUUUAAUUGUUGUGAAGUGUUUACGUUUGGGACUACGGGUUCGAUUCCCCGGAGAUCCCCUGCUGUUGAUAAGAUGGACUACGGGUUCGAUCCUCGGUAGAUCCUCUGUUAUUGAUAUGAUAGACUACGGGUUCAAUUCCCGGUAGAUCCUCUGUUAUUGAUAUGCUGGACUACGGUUUCAAUUCCCGGUAGAUCCUCUGAUGUUGGUAUGACGGACUACGGGUUCAAUUCCCGGGAGAUCCUCAGAUGUUGGUAAGAAUGGACUGUGGGUUUAAUUCCCAAACCCGGAGCUCCAUAUGGUAUCCUGACUUUCGAGUGAUUUUCCUUGUAUUCGUAGAUUGUAUUUGUAGCCUGUUCCGUAUUACUUAUUGUCUUGCUAGAUAUUCAGGGUUUCUUUCAUUAUCCACAGUCUUUUAUUCUUAUAUUAUUUCUUAUGUUCAUCUCAGUAGGGGCAUCGACCUUCCUCGUCACUACUCCACCGAGGUUAGGCUUGACACUUACUGAGUACCGUUGUGGUGUACUCAUGCUACUCUUAUGCACACUUUUGUUGUGCAGAUCCAGGUACUAUUGGUCAGGCGCUCUAUUAGGGAUUUUGGAGCACACUUGGAGACUUGAGGUAUGCAUAUGCCGCGUCCGCAGAGCCGAAGAGUCUCCUUCUAUUCUACCUUUAGCUAGCAGUUUCAUUCAUNNN